CCCCAAAAUGAGUGCAUGCACUUUAACGUUUGAAAACUACUGCAAGAAUGAGGUACAUCUGGCAACUUCCUUCCCCUUUACCCCAAAGAAAACAGCAGAACCAUGGCUCCUUAACUCAGGACUCUUUUUUCACAAAACUAGCUCUGCAAGAUGUAACCUUGGCUUCUCAGGAAAUGGAAAGAACUACUCCUCCUGAAGCUCUCUGGUUUGCUCCAUUAUGGACUGGAUGCCCUCCAUGACUGUC